AGAGUUUGAUCCUGGCUCAGGAUGAACGCUGGCGGCGUGCCUAAUACAUGCAAGUCGAGCGAACCACUUCGGUGGUGAGCGGCGAACGGGUGAGUAACACGUAGGUGAUCUGCCCAUCAGACGGGGACAACGAUUGGAAACGAUCGCUAAUACCGGAUAGGACGAAAGUUUAAAGGUGCUUCUGGCACCGCUGAUGGAUGAGCCUGCGGCGCAUUAGCUAGUUGGUAGGGUAAAGGCCUACCAAGGCGACGAUGCGUAGCCGACCUGAGAGGGUGAACGGCCACACUGGGACUGAGACACGGCCCAGACUCCUACGGGAGGCAGCAGUAGGGAAUCUUCGGCAAUGGGCGAAAGCCUGACCGAGCAACGCCGCGUGAAUGAUGAAGGCCUUCGGGUUGUAAAAUUCUGUUAUAAGGGAAGAACGACUUUAGUAGGAAAUGGCUAGAGUGUGACGGUACCUUAUGAGAAAGCCACGGCUAACUACGUGCCAGCAGCCGCGGUAAUACGUAGGUGGCGAGCGUUAUCCGGAAUUAUUGGGCGUAAAGAGCGCGCAGGUGGCUGAUUAAGUCUGAUGUGAAAGCCCACGGCUUAACCGUGGAGGGUCAUUGGAAACUGGUCGACUUGAGUGCAGAAGAGGGAAGUGGAAUUCCAUGUGUAGCGGUGAAAUGCGUAGAGAUAUGGAGGAACACCAGUGGCGAAGGCGGCUUCCUGGUCUGUAACUGACACUGAGGCGCGAAAGCGUGGGGAGCAAACAGGAUUAGAUACCCUGUAGUCCACGCCGUAAACGAUGAGUGCUAAGUGUUGGGGGUCGAACCUCAGUGCUGAAGUUAACGCAUUAAGCACUCCGCCUGGGAGUACGGUCGCAAGACUGAAACUCAAAGGAAUUGACGG
rnacentral:rRNA from 1 species